rnacentral:rRNA from 1 species
GACGAACGCUGGCGGCGUGCCUAAUACAUGCAAGUCGACCUUAGUGGCGAACGGGUGAGUAACACGUGGGUAACCUGCCCAUCACAAGGGGAUAACACUUGGAAACAGUUCCUAAUACCGUUUACUGAUGGAUGGACCCGCGGUGCAUUAGCUUGUUGGUGGGGUAACGGCUCACCAAGGCCACGAUGCAUAGCCGACCUGAGAGGGUGAUCGGCCACAUUGGAACGGAGACACGGCCCAAACGCCUACGGGAGGCAGCAGGAGGGAAUCUUCGGAAAUGGACGAAAGUCUGACCGAGAAACGCCGCGUGAGGGAAGAAGGUUUUCGGAUCGUAAAACUCUGUUGUUAGGGAAGCGGUACCGAACCAGAAAGCCACGGCUAACUACGUGCCAGCAGCCGCGGUAAUUC